rnacentral:rRNA from 1 species
GACGAACGCUGGCGGCGUGCCUAACACAUGCAAGUCGAACGGCCCGCCCCGUUGGAUCCCUUCGGGGAGAAGACGGGUUCCCGGGCAGUGGCGGACGGGUGAGUAACGCGUGGAGAACCUGUCUCUCAGUUGGGGAUAACCUGGCGAAAGUCGGGCUAAUCCCGAAUACGCUCUUGAGGUGGCAUCACUUUGGGAGGAAAGGUGCUUUCGGGCAUCGCUGAGAGGUGGCUCCGCGUCGGAUUAGCUAGCUGGUGGGGUAACGGCUCACCAGGGCGACGAUCCGUAGCUGGUCUGAGAGGAUGAUCAGCCACACUGGGACUGAGACACGGCCCAGACUCCUACGGGAGGCAGCAGUGGGGAAUCUUCCGCAAUGGGCGAAAGCCUGACGGAGCAACGCCGCGUGAACGAAGAAGGCCUUCGGGUCGUAAAGUUCUGUCCUCAGGGAAGAACCCUCAUGGGAGGAAAUGCCCAUGAGCUGACGGUACCUGGGAAGGAAGCCCUGGCUAACUACGUGCCAGCAGCCGCGGUAAUACGUAGAGGGCAAGCGUUGUCCGGAAUUACU